CAGGGAAUCUUGCGCAAUGGGCGAAAGCCUGACGCAGCGACGCCGCGUGAGGGAAGAAGGCCUGCGGGUCGUAAACCUCUUUUCUCGGGGAAGAUAGUGACGGUACCCGAGGAAUAAGCCUCGGCUAACUACGUGCCAGCAGCCGCGGUAAUACGUAGGAGGCUAGCGUUGUCCGGAUUCAUUGGGCGUAAAGGGAGCGCAGGUGGCCGGGUUAGUCCGUGGUGCAAUCUCCAGGCUCAACUUGGAGAGGUCUACGGAUACUGCCCGGCUUGAGGACGGUAGAGGAGCACGGAAUUCCUGGUGUAGUGGUGAAAUGCGUAGAUAUCAGGAGGAACACCCGUGGCGAAAGCGGUGCUCUGGGCCGAUCCUGACACUCAGGCUCGAAAGCGUGGGGAGCAAACCGG
rnacentral:rRNA from 1 species